rnacentral:sRNA from 1 species
CCUGAAAUCUUGAUGCGAUCCACUGUACACUGGA